rnacentral:rRNA from 1 species
GAUGAACGCUGGCGGCGUGCCUAAUACAUGCAAGUCGAGCGAACGGACGAGAAGCUUGCUUCUCUGAUGUUAGCGGCGGACGGGUGAGUAACACGUGGAUAACCUACCUAUAAGACUGGGAUAACUUCGGGAAACCGGAGCUAAUACCGGAUAAUAUUUUGAACCGCAUGGUUCAAAAGUGAAAGGCGGUCUUGCUGUCACUUAUAGAUGGAUCCGCGCUGCAUUAGCUAGUUGGUAAGGUAACGGCUUACCAAGGCAACGAUGCAUAGCCGACCUGAGAGGGUGAUCGGCCACACUGGAACUGGGACACGGUCCAGACUCCUACGGGAGGCAGCAGUAGGGAAUCUUCCGCAAUGGGCGAAAGCCUGACGGAGCAACGCCGCGUGAGUGAUGAAGGUCUUCGGAUCGUAAAACUCUGUUAUUAGGGAAGAACAUAUGUGUAAGUAACUGUGCACAUCUUGACGGUACCUAAUCAGAAAGCCACGGCUAACUACGUG